rnacentral:lncRNA from 10 species
CUGGAAGGGCUGCUGGAAGCCAUCUUCGCACGGUUCUUCCCUUGGCUUUAGAGCCCCGAAGCGCUCUUUGACUUGAGCUGCUUUGCAUUCUCUCUGUCCUGCCAUCGAGAAAGUUCUGAGCGGCUCAGAAGUAAUACUGACACUAUCAACGGAGGGGGACUGCAGUUUCGCUGGUGGCCCCACAGCCCCCUGCCUCCAGCCAGGGGACAAAGAACAGGAGGGAUCCAGAGGGCUGCCUGCACCUGCACCUCCCGCUCCUGCUGUGCCCUGAUCCCAUGUGCUGGGUGAACUGGGUUCUUCCGAGCCCUCCAGCCCUGGAUGCUAACCCCAGAGCUGCAAGGUGAGGGGCACCUACGCCGGCAGCCAUUCCCCAUGGGAGGGGCAGUGCUGGAGGUGCCCUGGGUGACCAGGACGGGCCGCCGCCCCUCUGCUGGCCUUAGUGCCCUUGUCUGUGAAAUGGGGCGAGCAGUUCCUCUCUCAGAGCUGCUGCGAGGACUGAGUCUCUCUGAGCUCAGGAUUUUCCUCUCUCUGAGCUCCAAAACCACGGGCAAAUCACACCCUCUCACUCUCAGCUUCCUGAUCUACAAGACAGGGAUGGUGAUAGAGUACUCAACUCCUAGGGCAGUUGUGGGGCAUGUGAAGCAUUCAGCCCAGGGUCUGGCACCCUGAAAGGGCCAAACCUGUGUGAGCCACAGUUUUAUGGUUGAUCAUCAAUGCCUGUCUAAGAAAGCCCCAUUCAGCUUGAACCCAGCUCUCCAGGAAGAGCUCACUGACACCCUCCUCACACACCCCAAUCGGCCGUCUUUAUUCAUCCCCAAAAGUGAUGUACAAGGAAUGAGUCUUUGGGGGUGUGUCCGUCAUCACCCACUGGGGCUGCUUGUGUCUCCAGCUAUCCCUCCGAGGAAUUCUGCCCCAGACAGCAGAGAGAUGGGGGGCAGGGGACACAUGGCCAUGAGGACAGAGAGCCCUGAGAGGGACUGGGGAAUCGAGACAUCGUUUUCAAAUAAUUGCAGCAAUCAAGAGAGACUGUACAUCCCAUCCCAGACAAAGGGAGACCUAAAAUGAGAGAAUGGAGCUGGGCGCAGUGGUUCACGCCUGUAAUCCCUGCACUUUGGGAGGCCGAGGCAGGCAAAUCACCUGAGGUCAGGAGUUCCAGACCGGCUGGGCAACAUGGUGAAACCCUGUCUCUACUAAAAAUAUGAAAAAAAGUUAGCCAGGCGUCCGCGUGCCUGUAAUUCCAGCUACUCAGGAGACUGAGGCAGGAGAAUCGCUUGAACCUGGGAGGCAGAGGUUGCAGUGAGCCGAGAUCACGCCACUGCACUCCAGCCUGGGCGAUAAGAGUGAAACUCUGUCUCAAAAUAAAUAAAUAAAUAAAUAAAUAAAUAAUCUUAAAAAAAAUAAAAAGAAAACUAGAGAAUGAUGACUUCUGUUUACCAUGUGCCUGGUUUCCUGUCCUGUCUGUGAUCCUGUUGCUGUUUGCUGUCAACUGUUCCUGCUUCAGUGAUAUUAGAAGGGUUCAAGGAGAAUGUGGGUCCCCUCCUUGCCUGCUCUGGGCCUUCCCCUGUUUCUGGCCUGUUUCAUCUCCACCCCCGUUGGAUCUGAGCUCCUUGAGGGUGGCCCCUACACCCUGCAGUGCUGAGCAUUGGGAGGUGUGAGGGUUGCUGAAGGCUGGGGGUUGGUGCUUUUCUUCAUUCAGCAGUCAUCAUUUAUUGAGCACCCACUGUUUGCCAGCUCCUUGGCUAAGCAUUUCAAGCCCUGUUCCAUGGGCUCAGUCUUCCAGGGGCUGGCCGCUAACUACGCAUCGAUUGAUUUCCAGAAGGACAGAAGCACAUAGCAGGGCCUGGUCUCCACUGGGGGUGCCAGGAGCUG